rnacentral:rRNA from 1 species
UUAAAUUGAAGAGUUUGAUCAUGGCUCAGAUUGAACGCUGGCGGCAGGCCUAACACAUGCAAGUCGAACGGUAACAGGAAGCAGCUUGCUGCUUCGCUGACGAGUGGCGGACGGGUGAGUAAUGUCUGGGAAACUGCCUGAUGGAGGGGGAUAACUACUGGAAACGGUGGCUAAUACCGCAUAACGUCGCAAGACCAAAGAGGGGGACCUUCGGGCCUCUUGCCAUCAGAUGUGCCCAGAUGGGAUUAGCUUGUUGGUGAGGUAACGGCUCACCAAGGCGACGAUCCCUAGCUGGUCUGAGAGGAUGACCAGCCACACUGGAACUGAGACACGGUCCAGACUCCUACGGGAGGCAGCAGUGGGGAAUAUUGCACAAUGGGCGCAAGCCUGAUGCAGCCAUGCCGCGUGUAUGAAGAAGGCCUUCGGGUUGUAAAGUACUUUCAGCGGGGAGGAAGGUGUUGUGGUUAAUAACCACAGCAAUUGACGUUACCCGCAGAAGAAGCACCGGCUAACUCCGUGCCAGCAGCCGCGGUAAUACGGAGGGUGCAAGCGUUAAUCGGAAUUACUGGGCGUAAAGCGCACGCAGGCGGUCUGUCAAGUCGGAUGUGAAAUCCCCGGGCUCAACCUGGGAACUGCAUUCGAAACUGGCAGGCUUGAGUCUUGUAGAGGGGGGUGGAAUUCCAGGUGUGGCGGUGAAAUGCGUAGAGAUCUGGAGGAAUACCGGUGGCGAAGGCGGCCCCCUGGACAAAGACUGACGCUCAGGUGCGAAAGCGUGGGGAGCAAACAGGAUUAGAUACCCUGGUAGUCCACGCCGUAAACGAUGUCUACUUGGAGGUUGUGCCCUUGAGGCGUGGCUUCCGGAGCUAACGCGUUAAGUAGACCGCCUGGGGAGUACGGCCGCAAGGUUAAAACUCAAAUGAAUUGACGGGGGCCCGCACAAGCGGUGGAGCAUGUGGUUUAAUUCGAUGCAACGCGAAGAACCUUACCUGGUCUUGACAUCCACGGAAGUUUUCAGAGAUGAGAAUGUGCCUUCGGGAACCGUGAGACAGGUGCUGCAUGGCUGUCGUCAGCUCGUGUUGUGAAAUGUUGGGUUAAGUCCCGCAACGAGCGCAACCCUUAUCCUUUGUUGCCAGCGAUUAGGUCGGGAACUCAAAGGAGACUGCCAGUGAUAAACUGGAGGAAGGUGGGGAUGACGUCAAGUCAUCAUGGCCCUUACGACCAGGGCUACACACGUGCUACAAUGGCGCAUACAAAGAGAAGCGACCUCGCGAGAGCAAGCGGACCUCAUAAAGUGCGUCGUAGUCCGGAUUGGAGUCUGCAACUCGACUCCAUGAAGUCGGAAUCGCUAGUAAUCGUGGAUCAGAAUGCCACGGUGAAUACGUUCCCGGGCCUUGUACACACCGCCCGUCACACCAUGGGAGUGGGUUGCAAAAGAAGUAGGUAGCUUAACCUUCGGGAGGGCGCUUACCACUUUGUGAUUCAUGACUGGGGUGAAGUCGUAACAAGGUAACCGUAGGGGAACCUGCGGUUGGAUCACCUCCUUACCUGAAAGAA